AGACCAUGGAGGCAUCAGCUGCAUAGUGCGGAAUGGCCUGCUGGAGACCGAGCGACAAUCGGCCAUUCACCUCUCAGGUGACAUCUUCCCCCGGGUUUCUCCCUGGCGGGCUGCAUUCUGGGUAUUGUUCACUCUGGUUCUCAUUGCUGCUGGAGCUUGUGCAUAUCUUGGAUACACAGCGAAGCAAAAGGCCUCUCAGAAGAAACGCUCUAAAGAGGAGGCUCUGUCACUUCUUGAGACUGAGAAGAUGACCUGGGAAUCAG